UGCAUCAGGCUUUCGCCCAGUUGAUGCAAUAUUCCCCACUGCAUGCCUCCCGAUAGGAGUCUGGGCCGUGUCUCAGUCCCAGUGUGGCCGGUCGCCCUCUCAGGCCGGCUACCCGUCGUCGCCUUGGUAGGCCAUCACCCCACCAACAAGCUGAUAGGCCGCGGGCUCAUCCUUCACCGCCGGAGCUUUUAACCCCGUCCCAUGCGGGACAGAGUGUUAUCCGGUAUUAGACCCCGUUUCCAGGGCUUGUCCCAGAGUGAAGGGCAGAUUGCCCACGUGUUACUCACCCGUUCGCCACUAAUCCACCCCGAAAGGCUUCAUCGUUCGACUUGCAUGUGUUAAGCACGCCGCCAGCGUUCGUCCUGAGCCAGGAUCAAACUCUAAGGAGGUGA
rnacentral:rRNA from 1 species